UGGGGAAUUUUGGACAAUGGGGGCAACCCUGAUCCAGCAAUGCCGCGUGUGUGAAGAAGGCCUUCGGGUUGUAAAGCACUUUUGUCCGGAAAGAAAACGUCGUGGUUAAUACCCGUGGCGGCUGACGGUACCGGAAGAAUAAGCACCGGCUAACUACGUGCCAGCAGCCGCGGUAAUACGUAGGGUGCAAGCGUUAAUCGGAAUUACUGGGCGUAAAGCGUGCGCAGGCGGUCCGCUAAGACAGAUGUGAAAUCCCCGGGCUUAACCUGGGAACUGCAUUUGUGACUGGCGGGCUAGAGUAUGGCAGAGGGGGGUUAGAAUUCCACGUGUAGCAGUGAAAUGCGUAGAGAUGUGGAGGAAUACCGAUGGCGAAGGCAGCCCCCUGGG
rnacentral:rRNA from 1 species